UUUUCAUCCCUGCCAGAGGAUAAAAUAGCCGUAUAAACGGCAAUGUCAUUUAAGUGAAUAUGCCUCUGACAGAAUACUCUGCUAUACCCCUACAUGUGCAUCAAAGAAAGCGUUAAAACA
rnacentral:ncRNA from 1 species